UACGUAGGGGGCAAGCGUUGUCCGGAAUCAUUGGGCGUAAAGAGCGUGUAGGCGGCCCGGUAAGUCCGCUGUAAAAGUCAAAGGCUCAACCUUUGAAUGUCAGUGGAUACUGCCGGGCUAGAGUCCGGAAGAGGCGAGUGGAACUCCUGGUGUAGCGGUGGAAUGCGCAGAUAUCAGGAAGAACACCAACGGCGAAGGCAGCUCGCUGGGACGUGACUGACGCUGAGACGCGAAAGCGUGGGGAGCAAACAGG
rnacentral:rRNA from 1 species